CCCCGGCGCCACGAGUGGCAACCGUGUAUUUGGCCUAAAGCGUCCGUAGCCGGCUUUGUGCAUCCUUUGUGAAAUUGUCCAGCCUAACUGGGCAGCGUGCAGAGGACACGGCAGAGCUUGGAACUGGGAGGCGUGAGCGGUAUUCUUGGGGGAACGGUAAAAUGUUAUAAUCCCAGGAAGACCACCGAUGGCGAAGGCAGCUCACGAGAACAGCUUCGACGGUGAGGGACGAAAGCUAGGGGAGC
rnacentral:rRNA from 1 species